UACGUAGGGCGCAAGCGUUGUCCGGAAUUAUUGGGCGUAAAGAGCUCGUAGGCGGUUUGUCGCGUCUGCCGUGAAACCCGAGGCUUAACCUCGUGGCUUGCGGUGGAUACGGGCAGACUAGAGGUAGGUAGGGGAGAAUGGAAUUCCCGGUGUAGCGGUGAAAUGCGCAGAUAUCGGGAGGAACACCGGUGGCGAAGGCGGUUCUCUGGGCCUUACCUGACGCUGAGGAGCGAAAGCGUGGGGAGCGAA
rnacentral:rRNA from 1 species